AUGAGUUUGUUUCAAAGAAAUUUCUUAUCUAAAGAUCAUCCUCAUUACAACGAUACGUCUAUCCUCCUUAAUCACAUUACACCUUGGUAUUACAACUACAUAUAUGAACCUAAAUUGUAUUUUCUAUCUGGUGAGAAUUUUGAGAAUAUGAUCAAAUUAAAUUGGCCGAAUCUAUAUGAAGACCCUUUUGGAAAAGCUUGGUAUUAA